GCGGGAAUAGCUCAGUUGGUAGAGCGCGACCUUGCCAAGGUUGAGGUCGCGGGUUCGAGUCCCGUUUCCCGCUCCA
rnacentral:tRNA from 1 species